AUGAUAACACUAUGGUAUUGUCGGGGUCGUGCUGCAGGAUGUUCUGGGCAGUCCGGGGCAUGCUGUUGCUGCUCGUGCAGCAGAACGACAGCCACAUCGGCGCGUCCUGGGACAGCUCUUCGUCCACUUCCACGGCCCCUCGGCAUCGCCUUUAAGUUCGCCGAGAUGGACUACGUUGCCAAAGUUAAUGAUUUACUGGAGAUAUCCAAGACGAUUUCAACAUUACCCUUCAUGGUUGAGCUUGACAUUCAAAAAGACAGUGUCAGGCAGCCGAGGAGCCAUACGUGGAACCUACUGAGGGUUAAGCGUGGGACUGAUAUAGUGAAAGUUCUGUUUGAGUAGAUAUUGGUCACAGAAGGCAACUCCAUGAAGGACGCAGCAUCCAAGGCUUAUGCUCAGGUGUUUGCUCCUCACCAUGGCUGGGCCAUAAGGAAAGCAGUAUGUGCUAGAAUGUACGCCCUUCCUUCUAACUCGCGGCUCUUGAAGAAACUAAAUGAAGAUGAACACUGA
rnacentral:rRNA from 1 species